AAAUUCUAACUAGUAAAUAAAUGGGAAUAAUCCCUCUAAAGUCAAAUAAAGUAAAACAAAGUUACAAAUAAACACUCAGGUAGCAAUACUUUUGUUAUCCAAAUAAAACUAAAUAUACUAAUAAGCACUAAAAUAGCUCGGUACAUCCCUCCCUCUAUAACUAUUUUGCAAAAGUUGCAAAUAACAUUAUUUGUAUGUGGUCGAUUCUAAGUGUACAUAUUUCCAUCCGAGAUUUUUUUUUACCAUUAGCACUUUUAGAAGUGCUAGAAAAUAUUUGAACAUUCAUAUCUCAUGCCACCAGAUACCAAGCAAAAGGCUGAAACAAAUAUGAUAUUCACACAUAUUAGAAUCAAAUCAUCAUACACAUUUACAAUGAAAUAAAUUAAUUUCAAAAUUGAAUUUCAAUGCAAGUUCAGACAUUGUGAAAGAGAAAAGAAACUGAAAAUUUGAAUAAAAAUUAGUACAAGACUAUAAGCUCAAUUUCAUCAAUCAACAAUUGAAUUCAAUGUACGAUGCAAUAUGCAACUAAAUUAACUAAUAGACAUAGGCAUGGCAUAGCAUUUUUUUCCUUAGAUGUUAAAACAAAUUAAA
rnacentral:misc_RNA from 1 species